rnacentral:tRNA from 1 species
GGGCGGCUAGCUCAGCUGGGAGAGCGCCUCGUUCGCAACGAGGAGGUCGUGGGUUCAAAUCCCAUGCCGUCC